rnacentral:sRNA from 1 species
UCAGUCUGAUGGCGGGCCACCAUGCGUU